rnacentral:rRNA from 1 species
CCUACGGGGGGCAGCAGUGGGGAAUAUUGCACAAUGGGCGCAAGCCUGAUGCAGCCAUGCCGCGUGUGUGAAGAAGGCCUUCGGGUUGUAAAGCACUUUCAGCGGGGAGGAAGGCGGUGAGGUUAAUAACCUCAUCGAUUGACGUUACCCGCAGAAGAAGCACCGGCUAACUCCGUGCCAGCAGCCGCGGUAAUACGGAGGGUGCAAGCGUUAAUCGGAAUUACUGGGCGUAAAGCGCACGCAGGCGGUCUGUCAAGUCGGAUGUGAAAUCCCCGGGCUCAACCUGGGAACUGCAUUCGGAACUGGCAGGCUAGAGUCUUGUAGAGGGGGGUAGAAUUCCAGGUGUAGCGGUGAAAUGCGUAGAGAUCUGGAGGAAUACCGGUGGCGAAGGCGGCCCCCUGGACAAAGACUGACGCUCAGGUGCGAAAGCGUGGGGAGCAAACAGGAUUAGAUACCCGUGUAGUC